CUCCUUGCUCAGACCCCUGGGCUGGCAGCAGCAACAUUGCCCUUUAUAAAGCCCCCUACCAGCUAGAAAAGAACCAGCUCACAAUCUGCUUCGCGCUUGAUUUAAAGGCGCUGACAAGCUGCUGCCCGCUCCCCAGCACGGUGGCGAGACUGGAUUGGGACUGUCAUAUAUAAUGCAUGGAGUCAGGGCCGCGAGCCGGGUUGUACGCGUGUGUGAUCCGCUCUGGAGCGCUGUUCCCAGAGCCAUUGUGCAAACAUAUUUACUCUGCAUAAAAGAAUGGGAUGAAGCUGCAAAGGACAUUUGUUCAUCGAAGUGGAUUUAAUUUUUAAACUCGCAUUAGGACAGGAUCAACCUUGCUGAAGGAGGAGCGCUCUCUCAGAGGCAGAGAGAGCCCAGCCAGCCAUGGUCACCAUUAAGUCACCUCCAUCAUACUCUGUGAGUUAGGGGGGCAAGUGAGGAUGUGAUCCACCAAUCCCCAACGAAGAAUCCUAGGGAAGAAUCUGAUUGGCUAGUCACCUGCCAGUCAUCACAGCCGAGGGAAAGGAGGGGUGGAGCAGCGACUCCACCAACUACAAAAGGUGAGGUGCUUAUCAACCUUUAUGAGGGAACAAUGGGUGAAGACAAUGACCAGGGUGCAGGCAGGCUGACCAUCCCAUCGGUUUGCCUGGAACUGUCCUAGUAUUAGCAAUGACAGUCCCAUGUCCCCAGGGCAAACCAGGGUGGUUGGUCACUGAAGUUCAAGUCCCUCUAGACAUUUCCAAACCUAAUUAACAAGUUGGGGAAGCGAGCUGUAACCCGUUUCUCUAGCUCUUUAUUUGUGUGAUUUGGCCAGAAAUUGCUUCAAGAGGAGACGUUCAAAAAGGAACAAAAAAUCAGAACUGAAACAAUGUCGGAGGGCACUUUGGGGUUUCUUCAGCAAAAUGCAAAUCCCUCCAUUAUCUUGUGGUUUAAACCAAAGCUGCCUUUUGGAAACUCCCGCUGAUUCUCCAGCCUCAUGGAGGGUGGCAGGUUCCUCUUUUAAGUGUUCCAGGCUAGGAGUUGCGUGGUUAACGCUGGGGUAAUACACACUCUGUAUUUGCUACCACAGCCCCCCACCCCUAGAAGUCUCCCAAGAGGAAAUCGGUGGUGUGGUCAUGCACAGCUCCUGUGCUCCUGAUGGAGACUGUUGUGGAUCCAGGGCCAUCUAGACAUCUAGAACUGGGAUGACCAGGACAUUUGGGCGUGAAAGGGGCCCUACAAGCCUUAACAGAUACUAAAGAACGUCAGACAAGCAGAAUGAGGAUGGCCCCAGGCAAGGUGGACCCCACCCCAGCUGCAGGGAACAGCAAGGCUGCAGGUCAGUGUUGAGUGGCCCUUUACAAAGGACUGUGACCCAGGCUGGGGGCAGUGGCUCACGCUUGUCAUCCCAGCACUUUGGGAGGCUGGAUCGCCUGAGGUCAGGAGUUCGAGACCAGCCUGGCCAACACGGUGAAACCCUGUCUCUACUAAAAAUACAAAAAUUAGCCGGGUGUGGUGGUGCACACUUGUAAUCCCAGCUACUUGGGAGGCUGAGGCAGGAGACUAGCUUGAACCCAGGAGGCGGAGGUUGCAGUGAGCUGAGAUUGCGCCACUGCACUCCAGCCUGGGCAAGAGUGAAACUCUGUCUCAAAUAAUAAAAACAAACAAAGAAACAAAAGCAAACACACACAAAACAAAGGGCCGUGACCCACAUGGACCUGGGACAAGGCUUCGGCUAAGCAAGCCCAAUGUCCAGUGGCUAUGGCCUCAGGAAGGUCAGCAAGGCAAGUUCCCUAUCCCUAAGACCGGGUCUUGAGACAGAAGCAGACAGUAGGCUCAACUCUCUGGAGGGCCCUGGCCAGGGCAACACAGGUCCACGUCCAGGCAAGGUCAUGCUCCCUGCCCCGCUCUGCCCCUUGGAGCAGGCUGUCAGAGGGGCCAAGGACUCCUCUCAGCAGGCUCGGGAGGAAACAGGAUCUCGAGUUCUAUUUUUUAAAUCACAAAAUUAGGGCCAUUUCUGUCUCUCCCUGGUCUGUCCCCUCCGAACCUGGGAGGCCCCUCUCCAGCAGAGGCUGCUUCUGUUCUCUCUCAUUCCAUAAAAACACUCCCGAGCCUUUCUGUUGCUGCAAAGAGAGCUUUGAUUCUUUGCCGAGAAUCUGCACCGCGGGCUCCAAAUGGGAGCGUUUCUCCGGAGAGGAGCAGGAGGAGAAUCAUUUUGUCGACGGCAGGUACCUGCUCAUUUCCAGCUCCCAGCCUCCCUCAGAACACAGACUGCCUUGCCAUUUUCUUAGCGAGCGGUUUGCAGCAAAGUGCUAUUUUGCUCUCGAACGCCUUCCUUUCCAAUUGGGACAAACGGCUAUGAAUACGGCACACCCUGUUUUGCAUUCAAACUGUUGGGAAAGUUUUGCGGCUCCGGCAGGCAAUGUGGAGCUGAUUGCUUUGCCUCUGUCCUGACCCAUGUGCCCCAUCGGGAGAGGAACAAGACGACAGUGACUUGCCAGGGGCACAGGCACAUGGAUGGGGAGCAGGUUUCCCUGAGGGAACGCAGCCCCUACUGGAUCCUACUGGACCUGGGUUCUGAGAUGACCCUUCCACAUGAAGAAAGAGAGUCCAGGGCUGGUGGGGGCAUCGCAGCUUCCUGGGGCCCUGCAGGAGACGGAAGAAGCCAGGGUGCUCAUCACACAGGCCUCCAGCUUUCUCCAGGGGCUGGACCUGGGGACCAGCCUGGGGGGUUUGCUGGAUCACAGGUCCCCAGUGCCCCGGACAUAGUGUGUGAGGAAUGCGGGUAUGAGAGAUACUAACAUAGGCAAAGUCGGCUCAUCUCAUCCAACCUCACCACCCUGUGCAUUGCAACCCCACAGUGCAAUGUAAAGAUGGGGAAACAGGCCCAGAGACUCAAGAGAAAUGAAACGAGUGGAGAUUGAGACUGAACUGGACCGGGAUCCGGGCCCCACAGCUGGGCUUGUCCCGAGGCUGUGUGCUGCCCCCGGAGCUCCUUGGAUGGAGAAGCGCUCCCUGCCCCUCCCUGCUCCAUGCCUGGCUUAGACACACGGCGGCCCUGCUCAUGCCUGAAAUUCCACCCUUAGCCACCCUCCCCUGUUUGGCAUUGCCCUCGCACCCCCUCUCGAGGGACACAGAAACCCCGCGUGUGGGUGUCCUCACUGCAGGUCUCCCUACCUGGCAGGCGGGGAAUGUUUUGGGGCAGGUGGUGGGCAAUGGAGGAGAAACAGUAAGCAGGGAUUUCAGGAAGAAGAAAACGCCAGCAAGAUCUGAUCCUGGUCCUCAAAGAGCAUGGAGACCCUCUUUAUACAAAUGGGAAUACUGAGGUAUGCAGUUCGAGAGGAUUGACCGAGGCCAUUUGGCUGGUUGAAGAGCGAUGCUGCGUGUCCAGAGCAGCGGGUGUGGGAGGCAGAGCCUGGAGCUCCCAGAGCCGGCGGCCCACGGCCUCGCCUCCAGCCAGGAGGGUGCGGAAUUCUCCCCCACCCAGCAGAGGCUCUGGCCAUCUGUCUCCAAGGAUGCGGGGGAGCGGACCGGCUGUGCCGCUCUAGGGCUGCUCCGCCUGACAGACAGCAGUGUCGACCACCCAUGUUUGCUGCACAGACUCUAGCUUCCACACCCCUCCCCACCCCAGCAGCCUGGGGAAGGAAGGCUGGAGGUCCCUGCAUGACGGGUGAGGAGAGAGGACAGGAGCCCGGUGCUCUGAACACCGCCCCAGCCCAGCUGCACGUCAGGACCCCGCACUGGCCUCUUACAUUGAGAAGCCAAGACCCACCCAAAACCCAGCUAUCAAAGUCUCUGGGGACAGCACCAGCAGGGCAGAGGGCGUUGGUUCCCUUAGAAUGUGCUAGAAGGCUCAUCCCUGCAGGAGGUGCCCCUGCAGGCAUCCUUGCCCCCACACUGCCUGGUGCUGCCCACCUGCUCACUUGCAGGUGACCCUAGUUUCUCAGUGGCUCGGCAGCCUCGCGGGCUGUUGUAACACUGACACCACGUCUGUGAGAUCAUUGGCUUGGAAGAUUCAGCUCAGAAUUGGAUAGAAGGGCCCUGCCCUGCCAGGCACAGCUGCCGGCCCUUGUCACCUGCAGCUGCAUGAGAAACUAAGGCUCAAACCAAAUCCUUCUGGACAGAAAAGCAGGUCCCCCUCCACUACCCCUUCGUCUGGGCUCUCGGUCAGCGGGGUCAGGGUGGCCGGGACAGUCACUCUCAUUUCCAGAGGAGGCGAGAGGCAGAUGAAGGCCAUGGACAGCAAGCCAUGGGGCCACAGCACAGCCUCAGGUCGUUGCUGACACACCUGCGCCUCCCACAGCCCUCCCCAGGAAAGCCGCGGCAGAGCUCACCCCACUCCCAGGGUGCUCACCUGGGACCUCCUCACCUCUGCACCUGCCCUGGGUAUCCUCAGCCGUGACCCUGGCCUGGCAGUGCCGGCGGACAGGUUGCAACCAGCCCAGCUCCCCAGGGGUGAGAGGGGCCCAUCACCGGCCACCCACAGGCAUCCCUGGGUCUGCUUUUUGGAGCAGUGUCCGGGGUUCCCUUCAUAUCCUUUAUAUCUAUGUGAACCUGACCGGCACACUCACUCCAGGCCCAGGUGUUCUGUAAACACUGAACACCAUGCUGUUAACCAAGGUUACGUUAAAAAGUGACUAUGUGGCCAGGAAAUAGAUUUUGUAUAGUUAUGUGCUGUUAGGAUAGAUACGGGUUUUCGUCUGCGGCUCCUGGCUUAUAACUCCCAUAGCACUUGUUCCCAUUUGCGUUAGAAUGUUGGGGGUGUUGAGCCUCAUGGGCAGCCUCUGCCUUCUCCUGCCCUCCUUUCACCUGCCCCAAGGCGGCACCCUAACUUUCUCCUGCCUUUCGGAUUGUGGGUCUUAAGACCCUCCCAUGAGAGGGUCCCAUCCUAUGCCAUGGGGGAAGGAAUGCUGACAUCAUGAAGCUUCCAUAAAAUCCCAAGAGGACUCGGUUCAGUGCGGUUCCUGGAGUGUGGCGCGCCCAGCAAGGAUGUGGGAGCUCUGCGUCCCUUCCUCCCACUUCGGUCUACGCAUCUCUUCAUCUGCAAUAUUCUUUUUCAUUAAUCUAUAAAUGUGUUUGCCUGAGCUCUGCGAGCUGCUCCAGCAAAUUAAUAGAAUUGGAAAGAGGGGGUCAUGGGAAUGCCAACCUGAAGGCGGCCAGUCAGAAGUUCCAGGGGCCCAGACUUGCGGCUGGUGUGUGUAGGGGCAGCCUUGGCGGGGGAGCAUCACAGAAGUCUUCUCCUGUGUUGAUGAUUAUUGAGGUGUGAGAGUAGAGGAGAAACACAGUUCAGGUGAGAGGCUUCCCUGCACAAGUUACCAACCAUAUGACCUGGCACAACUUUCCCAACCUGUGCCCCUUCCUCGCCUACUGGGGGGUAAUGAGAUCAAUGCCGUAGCCUGAGCAAGAGCCCAGAACGGGGCUGGGUGGGUGGGCAAACCUCGAGAAACGUGAGCUCGUAUGUGAGGCAUAUGACAGGCCGAACAGUGUGCCAUGUCCGUGGUGCCAUGCCCCAGCGUGGCUUUGAGCGCAGUGACUCUCUUAGAUUUCUGAUUGUAAAGGCCCUGUGUGCUGGGUAAAGAGUUUGGAGAAAUGCAGAAAAUUUAAAGAACAUGAAGAACUGCCCAGAAAUAACAACUGUGAACGUUUUGGAGGCCUCUCGUCCUUUCCUGUGUACCUCGUGGCACAGCUACACUGUGCCCUGCCUGGGGUCCCAGAACAUGACAGCAUCCACUGCCACCCUGACUCAUGCCUGUCCUCAGCUGGGCUCCUGCGCCAACCACAACCCCACUCCCCCCUGAAUGACAGCCAGUCUGUCAGGAUAUUCCUCCUCCGCUCAGGGCAGCCCCACUGCCGAGUCCCCAGCAUGCAUUGACUUGGGUACUCCCUACCUUGAGUCAACCAUUAGGCCCAUCACGCUGAUGCAGAGCAGGGAGCCCCAAAGUGGGGCUGGGCCCCCAAGGAUUCUUUACUUCACCCAGGAGAGACUUCAAGGGCAAGCCCCUGGUGGGGUGGGGCUUUAUUGACGAGGCAGUGUUGCAGCUCCGUGACUGUCCCUACAGAGCAGGACUACCCCACAGGCAGUGCGCUGAGAGGAGCAGCUCAGAGCAGUUGUGCAGUCACAUCUAUAUCUACUUUUAAUUACAAGCAGAUUAAGGGGUGGUUUAUGCAGAAAUUUCUAGAUCCUGGGGUUAUUGCCAUGGAAAGAGGAGGUAACGCCCAGGUGUUGCCAUGGCAGCGGUCAACUCACACUGGUGGGCGUGUCUUAUGGAAAGGUGCUUCCACCCCAUCCCUGUUAUAGCUGGUCCUCAAUUUGGUCCAGCAUCUGAGCCCCGCCUCUGGAGUAGAGUGCCACCUCUCCACUGCAAUGUGGGUGGGGACAGAUCCCCUGGGGCACCUAGCUGAAAGUCACAUCCUGCCGGAAGAGCUAAGACCACACCUGUCUGUCUGAUUUCUGAAGCUGGGCUCUCAUCCCUUGGAUCUCUGGCUCCCUUCUUGUCCUAGAGGCGAAGGGGAAGAGCUAAAUAUUUCGUGACCUUUAGGCCAUACUUGUAGAGGGGUGUGCAGGCGGGAGGAACUGAGGCCAGGUUCCGACUCUGGCUGGAGGCCUACCCAGGCCCCUGAGGUUUCUCCAGGGUCAACCCCAUGGCCCACUGGCAGCUGAGUCACACAGAGUGAUUGCUGGUCAUGCCCUUGAUUGAGAACGAUGCACUCAGAGCGUCCUCCGCUCAUAAAUAGCAGGAAGCAAAGUACAUUACGAGAGCAUAUGGUACCUCUAGGCCAUUUCUGCCUCUGGCCCCGUCACUGCCACAGUGGCUGAAACUCAUCUUCUGUUCUGACAGGUUUCCCUAGAAACCCAUCAAUUUAUAGUGUCUAUAGCUGGCCUUUUGGAGGCCCCAGACCAAACUGUGUUAGAAAACAACAGCAACAACAAAACUCCUAUUUCUCCAAAUGGCCCUGGAAGAUGCACCGGCUGUGCCCUCAAGACGCUGUGUGUGGGGCAUCCGCCUCCCUGGGCGCGUGGAGCUGGCUGAUGGCCAGGGUGUAAGGGUGCAUACUGGGCAAGGACGGGCUGAGGCAGUUGGCAAGGUCUGCAUCACCUCCACCCAUCCGUGGUCCCUGGUCAUGAAGGAUACGCCCAUCCAUCCACCUUUCUGAAACUGUUGUCAACGCACUCUGAAUUCAGGAAUGCUCUCCUCUCUCUUCCUUCUCCCCUUGGCAGACUCAGGGCGGAAAUGGUAGCUGACGUUUUCCCCAAGAGCGAGGACAAGGAAUGACCAAAAGAUCAUCAUCCCAGGGGCUUUGGGAAUGUGGGCCCUGCUGCAUUUCCUUCAGCAGAAGGGUUUCUUUCCUUCAGUUUCCAUCAGCUUUCAGGGAGGACAAAGGUCCCUUUUGCUAACUGAUCUCUGUCUCACCCUCUGCAAACCCAUCCUAUAGGCUGCAGUCAUGGCCCCACUUGGGAGUCCGCCUCCUUUCUCUCACUCCUGACUUCCCAAAACUCUGGCUGGUUGUGUGCUCCAGGGAACUUUCUAGGGUGAUGGCAAUAUGCCAUAAUUUGGAGUUUUAGGGUGGUAGUUACGUGGGUGCCUACAAUUGUUAAAAUUUACUAAAUUAAGAUCUGUGCAUCAUAUUGUGUUAAAUUGUAUCUCAAACAGAAAAGGACGAGAGUGCACCUUGUGGAGGGCAAAUCUGUGCCGCACCCCCCAGCCCCGCCGGUGCUCUGGGGUUGGCCUCAGCUCAUGCCCUGCAAGUCCUCGCCUGCAGACGCAGCUUGCUUUGCUCAGCACGCUCAUGCGUGUAUGCCACGGGUCAGUUGAGAUCUGGACCAUGGGUAGGUACAGAAUCUUUCUUGGUUAUUGUGAUGGUUUUAACAGCUUUGUUGAGCUGUAAUCUGCCUACUAUCGAAUUUCCCCAUUUAAAAUACACAACUCAAUGCUUUUUAGUAACUGUCUCCACGAGCUGUGCAACCAUCAGCACAGUCUAAUGUGAGAACAUUUUCAUUGUCCCUUCCCAAAGAAGGCCUGUAUUAAUUAGCAGUCAUUCCCCGAUCCCUCACCUCCUCUAGGUCUUACCUGACCCCAGGCCAGCACCAAUCUCCUGUCUGUCUCUAUGAAUUUGCUGAUUCUGGACAUUUUGUAUAAAUGGAAUCAGACAACGGAUGCUCUUAGUGACUGGCUUCUCCACUUGGCAGAAUGUGUUCAAGCCUCUUCCAUGUUGCAGCACACAAUUGUACUUCAUCCUUUUUUGUUGCUGCAUAAUACUCCAUGGUUGCUGAAUACUAUUCCAUGGUAUUACUUGUCAGUUGGUAGACAUUUGGGUUGUUUCUACUUUUUGGCUGUUAAGAUCUAAUGCUGCUAUGAAAUUCAUGUACAAGUUUUUAUGUGAACAUGUUUCCAGUUUUUGUGAGCAUAUACCUAGGGGUGCAAUUGCUGGGUCAUAUGGUAACUGAAUAAUUAAUCUUUUGAUGAACUGCCAGGCUGUUUUCAAAUCAACUGCAUGAUUUUACAUCCCACCAGCAGCAUAUGAAAGUUCCAAUUUCUCUACAUCCUUGCCAACACUUGUUAUUAUCUGUCUUCAUGACUACAGCCAUGCUAAUGGAUGUGAAGUGGUAUCUUACUGUGAUUUUGAUUUGCAUUUCCCUGAUGGCUAAUGCAGCUGAGCAUCUUUUCAUGUGCUUAUUGGCCAGUUGUGUAUCUUCUUUGGAGAAAUGUCUAUUCAAGUCUUUUGCCCCUUUUUAAAAAAUUGAGUUCUCUGUCUUUUAAUUAUUGCAUAGUGAGUUCCUUAUUAUUAUUAUUAUUAUUAUUAUUAUUCUUUUAUUUUAUUUUUAUGAGAUGGAGUCUCACUCUGUCACCAGGCUGGAGUGCAAUGGCUUGAUCUUGGCUCACUGCAACCUCCACCUCCCAGGUUCAAGCAAUUCUCCUGCCUCAGCCUCCCAAAUAGCUGGGACUGCAGGUGCACACCACCAUGCCCAGCUAAUUUUUGUAUUUUUAGUAGAGACAGGGUUUCACCAUGUUGGCCAGAAUGGUCUCAAUCUUGUCAAGAUCAGGAUCAGGUGAUCCUCCUGCCUCGGCCUCCCAAAGUGCUGGGAUUACAGGCAUGAGCCACUGUGCCCAGCUGUGAGUUCUUUAUUCUAGAUACAAGUCACUUAUCAGAUGGAUGAUAUAUAACGAUUUUCUCCCAUUUUGUCAGUUGUCUUUUUAAUUUAUUGUGUCUUGAAGCACAAAAGCUUUUAAUUUUAAUGAAGUCUAAUUCAUCUGUCUUUUCUUUUGUUCCUUGAGCUUUUGAUUUCAUAUCUAAGAAGCUGUUGAGUAACACAAGGUCACAAAGAUUUAUGCCUGUUUUUUUCUAAGAGCUUUUAUAGUUUUAGCUCUUACAUUUAAAUCUUUGAUCCAUGUUUUUUUUUUUUUUUUUUUUUUUUUUUUUUUUUUUUUGAGACAGAGUCUUACUCUGUCACCCAGGCUGGAGUGCAGUGGCAUGAUCUUGGUUCACUGCAACCUUCACCUCCCUGGUUCAAAAGAUUCUCCUGCCUCAGACUCCCAAGUAGCUGGGACUACAGGCACAUGCCACCAUGCCCAGAUAAGUUUUGAAUUUUUACUAGAGACAGAGUUUCGGCAUGUUGGCCAGGCUGAUCUUGAACUCCUGACCUUAGGUGAUCUGCCCCCCUUGGCCUCCCAAAGUGCUGGGAUUAUAGGCAUGAGCCACUGUGCCUGGCCUAAUCUUUGAUUCAUUUGAAUUAGUUUUUUAUAUGUGGAUAAUUUUUGAAUAUGCAUAUGGAUAUUCUGUUAUUCCAACGCCAUUUGUUGAAAAGGCUAUUUUUCCCUAUUGAAUGGUCUUGGCACCCUUAUCAAAAAUCAAUAGGCCAUAGAUGUGAGGGUUUAUUGGUUUAUUUCUGGACUCUCAGUUCUAUUCCAUUGAUCCAUAUGUCUAUUCUUAUGCCAAUAAACACUAUCUUUAUUGUUGCCUUAUAGUGGGUUUUGAAAUCAGGAAGUCUGAGUCCUUCAACUUUGUUCUAUUCAAGAAUAUUUUGGCUGCUCUGGAUCUCUUGAGUUUCUGUACUAAUUUUAUGAUCAGCUUCUUUAUUUCUACCAAAAAAGUCAGGCAGAAUUUCGAUAGGGAUUACACCAAAUCUGUAGGUAAAUGUGGGGGCGUACCACCAUCUUAACAACAGCAAGUCAUGCCCUUCAAGAAUGUGGGAUAUCUUUGUGUUUAUCUAGGUCUUUAAACAUUUCUGUUAACAACCUUUUGUAGCUUUCAGUGUGCAAGCCUUGGGCUUCUUUUGUUAAAUUUAUCCCUAGGUAUAUAUGCAAUUAUAAGUGGAAAUUUCUUUAAAUUUCAUUUUUGGCUUUUUCAUCACAAGUGUGUAGAAAUAAAAUUGAUUUUUGUAUAUUAAUCUUAUAUCCUGCCACAUUGCCGAACUUGUUUAUUUGUUCUAAGAGUAUUUUUCAUGGAUUUCUUAGGAAGAUCAUUUCAUUUGCAAAUUGAGAUUGUUUUUCCUUUCCUAUGUGGAUAUCUUUUCUUUUUCCUGACUAGGUUUUGCUAGAACCCUAUUGUUGAAUAGAAGUGGGGAGAAGGGACAUCCUCGUCAUGUUUCUGAUCAGAGGUAGAAAGCUUUUUCAGUCCUUCUGAAUUAAGUAUGAAGUUAGCUGUGGGCAUCACGAGCACUCUGAGUAUUUUUAGACGGUGCCAAAGCAAAGCCCUCCUCCGUUCUCAGCAGACCCGUGAACAGCCAUGAACCCCAGUGUCCUUUGCUUUCUCUUGUUCCUUCAUGCUCGCCUUCCACCCUCCUCUGUGCUGACCCCUCCAGGCUGCAAAUAAAACCCACCAGCUGCUUCCUAUGCUACUGUCAAUGCAUCAGCUAAAGUUGGAAUCUCAGCACCAAACCCGAGCCCUUUGUGCCUAAGGCCCCGUGGCACAAUAACCUCCAACACAGUCGUUAGGGUGAGACCUUAGGAGUGAACAACCCCUAUGCAAAUGCCCAAAAAUGUAUUCAGAUGUCACCUAUGUUUGUACCUGUAGCUGUCACAAAUCGUUUAGAAGUGUGCCAUUGGGUGGACGGCUGGAUGGAUGAAGAUAGGGGACGAUUUCUGAUUUAACAACCACCAAGUGUCAGGAGAGAGAAACACAGUCUGCGAGUAGCACUGACUCUGGCAGAGAUUUUAUAACAAUUCAUGCAAAGAUUAUUUAUUCAAUAAAUAUUUAUUGAGCUCCUAUUAUGCACUUGGCACUGGGGAAAAACAAUGAAGAAGACAUAGAAAUCCUGUCCUCUGGCACCUAAGCCUGGUGGGUUCAGGGAGAUGCAUUUGGUUGCCCUGCCAGGGCCUGGGCUUGAGGAGGCCAAGCCAUCUCUCCUAGUCAUCUGAGCCAGAACUUGGCAAACUUCUCCCCAGCUGAGUGAGUGUGUCCAGAAGACUUGCAUUACCAGGGACCCCACCAUGCAGCCAUGGCUUAGAGUGCCCUGGAGUCUGAGUUCAGGUCCCGCAGUUCAGAGCAGAGGGAAGGCAGCUGGCAGAGUAAGGAAGUAAGGAGAAUCCAUGCUCACCCUUGUCUCCCACUAUGUGACCUUGGGCCUGGGGCUGGCAUGGCAGGUGCUACAGCCAGACAAUAGAGGCUCCAAACCCAAGUUUCUGUCACUGUGGGAGCUACCAUGUCAGAGGAAGGUGAUGAUUAAUGCACAAAUAUGUAUUUUCUCCAUCAGUCUGGUCUUUAACCAGUCUCUAGAUUCAUAAUACCCUAUCCAGGACAGGGUUUUCAGAUGGAGCAUCAAUAAUGCAGGUGCACACACAAAUUAUGAAUGAGUUUGAUCCUGGAGCAGUGAUAAGUGAGACUUUCUUGGAAGGCAGGGCUCAGCUGACAGCUGUGGGCCCUGCAGUGACUCCUAUCUACACUCUGGAGGGCUCCGGAAACCUCUAGCUCUGCGCCCCCUCCUCUGAUGCAGUCCACAUUGCAGAAUGGCAGGCUCUCCUGUCCCUCUGGCUCAGCUUGUCCCAGCUUGGCCAGUCAGCCAGGGGCUACCGGGUGCUUCUGUGCCAUGGUAGCAUCUCUCCUCCCCUUGGCCUUUGCUGUGGAAGGAGCUACCUGGAGGAGAUUGUGGCCUGGGCCAGGGACAUCUGUGCCAUCACCCUGGCAGGAGGUGAGGAGGCAGUAAAAGGGCAGCCCAGACUGGCAAGAGAGGGGCUGCCCACUUCGGGGGCAUCACACCUACAGGAGGCAUGUCCUCCAGCACGUGGUCUUCACGCUGCCCCCCGACUUGGACCUCCUUUUAAACUGUACCACACUGGGAAGUCCUUCACCACGGUGGGGCUCACCCUCACCACUGGUCCAUGGCAAGGUGGAAUAAUACUUCCUGAGCUCCUUUUCCCCUCCAACAACUUCAGAGAAUGAACAAGAAAGAGUCUAGAAGAUGCAGCUGGAGGUGCCAUUUUUCCUGGCAUGGUGUUAAAAAUUUUAAAUGGGGCUGCAGUAGCCUUUCCAUCUGUGUGUGUCUCUAGCUGUGUGUUUAUCUGUUCACGUGUGUUGUGUGUAUGUGUGUGUCUCUGUGCACGUGUGUCUCUGGGUUUCUAGGUAUGUAUGUCCAUGUGUAUUCACGUGUGUGCAUGUGUUUCUGUGUAUUUGUGUGCAUAUGUAUGUGUCGAUGUGUGUGUGUAUGUGUGUGUCUCUGUGCACGUGUGUCUCUGGGUUUCUAGGUAUGUAUGUCCAUGUGUAUUCAUGUGUGUGCAUGUGUUUCUGUGUAUUUGUGUGCAUAUGUAUGUGUCGAUGUGUGUGUGUAUGUGUGUGUCUAUGUCCCUGUGUGUGUCUGUGUCUAUUUCUGUGUAUGUGUCUGUGUGUGUAUCUGUGUCUGCAUCUCUUUGUGUGUGUGUAUCUCUCUGUAUGUGUCUGUGUAUAUCUGUGUGUGUAUCUCUGUGUGUAUUUCGGUGUCCGUGUGCAUGUGUGUCUGUGUGUGUUUCUGUGUGUGUCUGCAUGUGUAUCUCUGUUUGUAUGUGUAUUUCUGCGUGUCUGUGUGUAUCUCUGUGUGUAUUUGUGUGUAUUUCUGUGUGUCUGUGUGCAUGUGUGUCUGUGUGUCUUUCUGUGUGUGUCUGUGUCAUGUUUGUGUGCAUUUGUGUCUGUGUGUAUUUCUGUGUGUGUUUGUGUCUGUGUGAAUGUGUGUCUGUGUGCAUUUGUGUCUGUGUGCAUUUGUGUCUGUGUGUAUUUCUGUGUGUCUGUGUGCAUUUAUGUCUGCGUGUAUUACUGUGUGUGUCUGUGUCUAUGUCAUGUUUGUGUGCAUUUGUGUCUGUAUUUCUCUGUGUGUUUGUGUCUGUGUCAUGUGUGUCUGUGUGCAUUUGUGUCUGUGUGUAUUUCUGUGUGUGUCUGUGUGUGUUUGUGCAUGUGCACACAUGGGUGCUCCAGCCACCGAGCCCAGCCCUCGGGGCACAGAACCCUCUGGGCACAGGGGCUUGGUCUCUGCUUCCGAAACGGCACCGCCAAUGUCUGUGAGUUUCGUGGGUGUCCCUGUGUGAUCCCCUCACUGGAAAGUCUGGCUGGCUACAGACAUUGCUGCUAUUCUCCUGGCAACUGCUGCAAACCACAAAGAGCUUCUUUCUUAUCCUUUGGGAGCAGGGGAACAAGGCUUCACUAUAAGGGGAUUAGGUUUGUAUUAGGCUUUGAUCAGAGAGGCAGAACCACCAGGAAAUGUGGCUGAGGGAUUUAUUGUAGGAUUUGCCCAUGUUUGAUAAGUCAAAGAAGGCUCUUGCUUCUGUGCCUGGUGUGGCAGCCUAGGGUCAGAAGAGCAGGUGGUGGGGCAGGAGAGCUGCAUGUCAGGUUGGGCAGCAGGAGCGCCCUGGAAACUGCCGGGUCGGAUGUCCUCUGCAAGGCAGUCUCCCUGUUGCUGUCCCCAGCUUUAAUUCUGGGAUCCCACAGGAGAAGAUGGGGCCCUUCAUCAGGUGCUAAAUGUCACACCUGUCCUGGGAGUUAAAGAACUCAUGGAAGACUAUGGCAGGAACAGGGCUGCUGUGGGUCCCCUGCUGCACACUGGCAAGGUGCCUGCCCACAGGUGACAGCAUGCAGGGCUGCAACAGCUCCAACCUUCUGGGCACAAAAAGAACAUGGCCACUGCUUCCCGCCUUCCCAAUUCUGCACCAUGCCUCUUGGGGCCAAACUGACCAGGGGCUAUGUAGGAAAGGGCAUUCUGGGCAGUACAGUUCUGCUUGGGUGGGCUGAUGCAAUAGAAACCCACCACGGUCUGCCCCUUGUCAACCUGGCACCAUAUAUGACUCACUUAGACACACUUAAUGCCUGAAUAAAGACAACAGCAAAAUCCUUGCUUAUGCCUAGCAUGAAGCAUGAUCCUCUGAACAACUGAAAACACACUCUGCCCAGAAGAGGAUACAAAACCCCUUCCUCCACCCCUGGGUGACAUCUCUUCCUCCUACAGCUAAGUCUCACACCCUUUCUGAUAUCCUGUGGCCUAAACGCCAAGUAUAUUUGUUAUCUAUUGCUCUAUAAAAAAUCACCCCAAAAUCCAGAGGCCUAAAACAAUAAAUGUGCAUGAUCUCACCUCUUCUGUGGACAAGAGUCUGGGCAUCGCUAAACUGGCUGCCUGUGGCUCACAGUUCCUCGCUAGGCCUCAGUGAAGCUUCCAGCCAAGGCAGUGAUCUCAUCUGAAGACUGGACUGGGAUGGUAUCAUCUUCCACGCUUGCGUGCAUGGCUGUUGGUUUGUGUCAGCAGCUUUCUGCCAUGCAGGCCACUCUGUGGGGCUACUCAUGAUGUGGCAGCCUGCUUCUUUCAGAAAAAGAGCUGCAAAAGAGAGAGAAAGCAAGAUACUGCAUGCAAGAUGGAAGUCAUGGUCUUUUUGUGACUUAACCUCUAAUCUUGGAAGUGAUAACCCUUCGCUUUUGUUGUAUUCUGUCCAUUCUUUGGAUUGAGGUACUAUGUCCAGCCCACAUUCCAGGGGAGGGGAUUACACAGGGCCAUAGAUACAGAGAGGAGGGGUCAUGGGCCCAUCUUAGAGGCCGCCCAGCCUGCUGAGAGAGAAGGUCACUACUAUCAAUGCAACGUAUGUUGGAUGCAGAGAAAUGGAAGAGGGAGGAGAAGUGUGGUUCACAUCUACUGACAGAUUCACAGCUAAAUACGGAAUAAGAACUUGUGACUGUUACACCUCAUGUCUCUACCUGGUCAUGCGGCCAUAGCUGUCCCAUAACUACCCUCCCUCGUGACUGUCCAUAGUCCCUGUGCCCUAGCAAGGCCCUCGGAGGGUCGUGCUUCCUUGUUUGGUGGGGUGACCCAAAUCUUCAUUCCCAAAGGAUCUGAACGUCUGAAACCUGCUACCAUUUUGGGUCAUUGUUGACCAUUUCAAUGUGGUUCAUAAUCAUCCUGGAGAGAAGGCAGGUGCCUCGGGGCCCAGGUAGUGGGACUUCAGGAGCCUGUGUGCUGCCCUGGGGCCUCUGGGUAGAGUGUGGCCUGGCCUCAGGUGCCCUGGGGGGUCUUGGAGUUGGGUCAGUAGAGGGUCUGAGUCACAGCCACCCCGUCCUUCUGGCCCAUCCUCCCAAGACCAUCUCUGGAAGGUUUUCCCCUGGUGGGUGUCAGAUGGGACAUCCCUGAGGAAGACCUGGCUCCAGGUGGAGGCGCCCCACGCCACCUUGGUUGUGGCGGCUGCCAGUCCUGGCCACAGCCCCAACCCCUAUGAGGCACCAGCAUCCUCUUUGGUAUCCACAGAGGUGGCAGGAAUCUGUCCAUCCACACCUUCAUCCACUCAUUAAGCAAAUGCGCGCUGGGGCUGACUUCUCAAACUGUGAAAAAGCCACGUGGGGCUCUGCCGUGGUGGGGCUGCCACCCCAGGGGACAGGACAACCCACCCUUGAACACAUACUAUGUGGGUCCAUUUCAAAUUGCAACCAAGGCCCUGGACAAAACAAAGCGAGGUGGCUCCAGAGCAUCACUGCCAGGAGGGGCCUCCUUCGAUGGGGGCAGCAAGGUGCUCUCCAAGGACCCAUGGAUGGGCCUGAAGGAAGAGGUCUCAGGAAUAAGCAAGCCACAGACACACCCUGCAGGCAGGAGGAGGACGGCAUGAAGGCUGCAGGUGCAGGGCUCUGUGCUCAGCUGGAUGGGGCUGAGGGAGGAGACCCAUUCAGAUGCUGGGGCCUGCUGGGUCGAAGGCCAGUCAGCUCCUCUUGCUCUCAGCCAGGCCAACCCUUGAGGGUCUCAGACUUCACUGUUCACCACUCCGCUACACACAGGUAGCCUGUGAAAGUCACUUCUCUAGAUCCCCAGGGACGUACAUCCCGCAACGCUAGCUUGGGCGGGACCUGAGUGCCAGCUGGGUGGCCAGAGGUGGGCGAAUUUAAGGCAGAUGGCAAAGCCAUUCCCACCCCAGGGCCACUGGUCGGCACAGCUGGGCACAGCCCACCACCUGCCAGACCUUUCAGAGGGAAUGCAUCUCCCUCCAAGCCAGGUCCCAGCUGGGAUCUUCCAGCUGAAGAGGUUUCCUUGGGCAGAAGCGAGAAGCGAAUUGGAAGAAAGAGGCCCUGACCCUCCAGGAGGCUCCAUUCUGCCUGUGGCCCUGAAAAAAGAGAGCAGGAAGGAGCAACUCUCACUUCUUCACAGCGACUUUGAGAAGUGGAAGACAGGGGCCGCUCCCCGGCUACAAACAAGAAGCCGAUGGAAACCAACACCGUCCCCUCCAGCCUCAUCUCCUCGCUCUUCAGAGUUUGCAGGGAGAUGCAUCACGAAGGCCCAUGAAGCUGUAAAGAUUAGUAUUCCAACCCGGGCAGCAGGGUUUUAAUUAGUCAUUAGGCCCUUUCUGCAGAGCCAUGCUGAACAGGCAAGGGCAGGGUGACCUUUCUCCGCCCAGCACUGUGGCAGCCUGUCUGCUUUGCAGGUGCACUUGGGACUCUGUCAAAACCGCUAAGAGGAGAGGACUGAGGCUGGGCCGGGAAGGAGGCCCUAGCCUCUCUGUUCCUGGGCAUGGCCCCCACCACGGGGGCACUGCAGACCUUUGCUCCCAUCUGGCUCUAGCUCACAGCUUGCACCCCUCAUCCACAAGGGACACAGACAGUUGCUCACGUGAUGGCUCUCCUAGCGAGCCCACGGGCAACGCCAGGAACAAGCCACCCAGGAGUUGAAGCACUUCCCUGGUGUGUGUGAUGGGAGAGGGGAGGGAGCCGGCUUCCUGCAGCCAGUCCCCGCCGGAUUCCAGGAAGGCGAGCGAACCCCUGCGGAAGGUCGGUUCUCAGCCAGGCAUCUGGGACCCCCCUGCCAAGUUGCCCCUUCUUGGCCAAAUGUCACCACAUACCAUAAAAUCACAGAGAACCUUCCAGCUUGCCUGCCUUAGAAGCCAACCCUCCCAACCUCCUGGUUUCUCGAGGACAGUGAGGCCAAGAGCAGCUGCAACCAGGGGCGUGCAGAGGCCGGUGGCUGAGCUGGGGCCAGGACCCUGGACUAUGGCUGUCUAUUUACAACCCAAAAUAAAACGCUAAUUGCCACCAGCACCUGCUGACAAAGAUUUCAAAUCAGUGUCCUCACGAGGACUUCUCCUGGGGCUUCCUGCCAAGCUCAUGAUGUGCUUCUAUCCAGUGGGUCAGCAGGCCCCGGUGUCUGAGGGCACAGCAUUUCUUUCUGCCACUGCUCCGGAUUAUCUGCCCCAGUCUGGCCCCUCGGCUCCUGCCUCACCCACAGUGCCCCCAGGCCUCCCUCCCGUGGGCUGUUCGGCUCCUGUCUCCCACCUUCUCUCCACCUUGGCAGCCGUCCAUGGCCACAGGCUUGCACCCGGGUCUUGCACUGAACGUCAACUCAGGUGCGAGGCUUUCCUUCCCAGCUUCACUGCAAACACUGCAGGCAGGCCUUGGGGUCAUCUGGCUCAGCACACCACAGGGACCCCACUAGCUCUUAUCCGCUGUAUGGGGGUCCCAUAGCCAUGGGCUGGGCACUUCAUAGGAAAUGGACGUCUGUGACCUCCAAGGGGUUACAGACACACCCUCCGAGGGGAGGUGACAGAAUGGCUGGAAGUCGCCACCACGAUCACAGCCCGGAGCCACUGUGGGGACCUUGGUGCGUGUGCCCCGUUCGUGUUGUCACCAGUGCAGGUGCCCUGCACCUCCGCCUCUCAGGAGCAGCCACCCAGCUACAGUCUGAGCAAUUGCACAUCUGGCUCACUGCAGUUCCUUGUAUGACAGCAAGGACAAUGUAACAGGUUUCAUGCCUUCUUGUCUGUGCUGUUAGUUCCUGAUGCCAAGCCCUUCCCAGGAGGCUGAGGAUCAGGCGGACUCUCAGGCCAGCAGCAGCAAGGUAGGAAGUCCUCCUGCCCCAGAUGCCUCCAGCCUGCAGACUUCAUAAUAAAUGGGAGGUUGGCUUUCCCAGCCAAAGCCAUAAACUUUAAUUGGGCUUUUUAAAGACCACAAAAGCAAAUAUAUGCCCUUAAAGAAACCCUUUGGUAACUUGCUCAGAACAUAAAGGUGACUAUUAGCAUGUGCUGAUUUGAAAUACCAAGAAGAAAAUAUCUCCCACAUCAACAUAUGCUAGUGUAAGGCAUGUCCUGUUUUGCAUAGCUCUCACGGUUCCCCACCCUAACACUAGGGCCCGCCUGUCCUAGAGGGCAGCAUGCUUGAAAUCAGAAGACUGCAUUUGGCCUGGCUCCACAUGCCCCUUAACAUUGUUCUUUUUUGUUUUCUUUGAGACAGGGCCUGUCGCCCAGGCUGGAGUGCAGUGGUGUAAUCUUGGCUCACCACAACCUCCACCUCUCAGCAACCUCCGCCCCCCAGCAACCUCCACCUCCCGGCAAACUCCACCUCCUGGGUUCAAGCCAUUCUUGUGUCUCAGCCUCCCGAGUAGCUGGGAUUAUAGGCAUACGCCACCACACCCGGCUAGUUUUUGCAUUUUUAGUAGAGAGAGAGUUUUGCCAUGUUGGCCAGGCUGUUCUCGAACCCCUGACCUCAAGUGAGCCACCCACCUCGGCCUCCCUAAGUGCUGGGAUUACAGCCAUGAGUCACCGCGCCCGGCCGCUCCUUAACAUUGUUGAGCUCCCCUUUCCUCCUCUGCGUAAUUAGUAAGAUCUCUUCCACCUGCCUCAUGGGCUGACUGAGGGAACAACCCAGACAGGGAUGAUCAUGACGGUGCUGUUGGCUGACUGUGGGGCUCGACACUGUGCUCAUCACUUUAUGCAUCUGAGAUGGAAAUGGUCUCAGCCACAGGCACAGAUGGGGAACCCAAGGCAAAGAGAGGUUAAGUAACUUACCCUUGGUCAUGCAGACAGUGGCUGAGCCCGAAUUCAGCCCCAGUGUCUUUAACUCCAGGUGUGAGGGCAGCGGCUCCAGCACGCGAGGCCCCAGGAGCCAGGCACUGCUCACAGCACCAGGCGUGACCGCAGCGGCUCCAGCACGCGGGGCCCCGGGAGCCAGGCACUGCUCGCAGCGCGGGUCGCUCACGUGUUCUUUGGAGGCAAAUCCAUGCGGCGUUCACACACACGGACCUUGCAGUUGCUUGCGCCUUUUUUUCUCUCCAACUCAUCACAGGGCAUGACUUCUCUCCAAGCUGCCUGAAAUAAAAUGAAUAACUUUUUAUGUGAAGUUCUUCGUGCUGAAGAGAACUUGUUCCAAAUGGGGAAUAAUUGGCCUUCCAGGGCUCCAUACCGGCAAUGAAGUGAAAGAUGCUGACGUUUCAGAGGUGUGGAAAUAAAAGGACUAAAAAUGGGAUUCGGAGCAGCUAAUGAGGGCAGAUCCGCAGGGUUUGAGAGACAAAAUGGGGAUCGCAGGUGGAAGCUGGCACCGCGGCCAGGGGCAGCCCACGCAGCAGCGAGUGGGGCCGAGGUCGUGGGCGGGUGUCCGGACCCUCAUCACAGGAACUUGCUGGAACCCCCAGAGGCCCCGGCCUCUGCUGGCUUUGAGGCCUCAGACCUCCCUAGUCCAGUCACGAGCCACCGAGCCCCCUAUACGAGUCUGCUCAGCGGCUGUAUGAAGCAUGUUAUGUUUGACGAAGGAUUAAACACCAGAAAUGUAUUGUCCCCGGUUCUGGAGGCUGGAAGUCUGAGAUCAAGGGGCUGGCAGGGCUGGUUCCUUCUGAGACCCCUCUCCCUGGCCUGUGGGUGCCAUCUUCUCUCUCUGUGGGUGUCCAUGUCUUUACCACCCCUUCUCCUAAGGACACCAGUCCUAUUGGAUUAAGGUCCACCCUAAUGGCCCCAUUUUAACUUAGUUACCUCUCUGAAAAUCCUACCUCCAAAUACGAUCACAGACUCCAAGCUGCUGGGGUGAGGACUUCAACAUGUGAAUUUGGGGCGAGGGGCAGCUUGGUUCAGCUCCUAACAUGCAUGUCAGCCACGCUCUCACUCACUCAUCCUUGUUUUGAUUCGUUUACAUGGUGCAUGUCUCCGGUGCCUACUGUGUGCUAAGCUGGGCCAAGACAGAAGCUGCCUGCCAGGAGCCCAGUGCCCAGUGGAGGAGGAGGGAUGGAGCAACAGGGCAGUAGGACGGGGUGUGGCUGUGCCCCAGAUGGGGAGGAGUUAGCCCUGGCCCCAUGUGCAGUGCAGCCUCCGGGUGCCCACCGCUCUGGGACUACAGAGUAGCUCCUUGGACAGUCAUGUCUUCAGAACUGAGAGCUGAGAUGACCCAGUUGGCCCAUAUUAGGCAGUUUCCAGUCCAGGAAAGGAGGGGGUGGCAUCAAGACCUGAGCUCUGGGGAGCACAUUUUGGGGUCCACAUUCUUGCUUUGCUUGUGGAAUGCCUGCAGGAGCUGGAGGCCACGCCACAGAGCCCUUGGGAGGAGAAACGGCCACGUGUGGAGGGCAGUCUGAUGGCAGGUAUCCACGCUGAAGAUACAUGUGUCCUUUGAACCAGCCCCCAGUUCCCUGGGAGAAUGUCUCAGAUCCCUAGGCAAAGGCACAAAGAUCUGGUGUGUUUACUGCUGUAAGAGACAGCCCCAAACCUCGGCAGUUUCUCCCAACAUAGAAACCCACAGAGCGAUGCUGUGAUCCAGGUCCUGCCUGCUCCAUGGUACCACCCUUCUCUGGUUCAGCAGACAGAGAGGGAGAGAGCGUGAGGACCACACAUGAGGGGUUUUAUGGCUGACCAGAAGCAGAACACAGCACUUCCUCUCACCUCCCAUUGACCAGACUCCAGUACACACAGGACCGCCUGAGAAACAUGUGCACCGGGGGAAGAGAGCGUGGUUGGAACACCAGCCAUCUCUCAUGCAAUAUUUAUCUAAAUUCUAAAAUAAUUGAGCAUUGAAUCCAACUGGAACUCCCU
rnacentral:lncRNA from 1 species